GUUGUGACAACAUUGGUCUGGUGGUAUAAUUUUGAGAGGUUUAUAUCAAAAACAUGUUACAAAGUUCAAUAGCUGAUUCUAAUGUGACAUUUGGCCAGGAUAGUGCCGGCUCAGAAAUGAAAAAUAGCGUAACCUAUCCAUAAGGGGAGCCUCUCUAUUUCUAAUGGAAGUGGUUCAUAGGUGGAUGCAGAAAGCUCCCUAUCGACCACAACUACUGUAUGUAAUUUGUCAGAAGAGACAGCACAGUCAAGAGGCAGAUAACAAGUCCCGUUAUCUGCCAAG